rnacentral:lncRNA from 1 species
AAAAGACAAGCAGUAACUCUGGCACUGGAACAACAUUAUAUAAAAUUCUUCUUUAUGGUUCUUGGGCCAAAGUCAUCUAUUUUUUACAUACCUGUUCUCCUUUUCAGUGGUCGGUGUUCUUCCUGCAGGCACAGGAGCACAUUCCCACCUCAGCCACACUUCUUCUCCAGAGUUUUCACAAUCUUCCCUCAACACAACUGCUCCUGCUCAGAAAGCAAUAAGCUUGGCCAAACCUCU